CAGCAGCCGCGGUAAUACGUAGGUCCCGAGCGUUGUCCGGAUUUAUUGGGCGUAAAGCGAGCGCAGGCGGUUAGAUAAGUCUGAAGUUAAAGGCUGUGGCUUAACCAUAGUACGCUUUGGAAACUGUUUAACUUGAGUGCAAGAGGGGAGAGUGGAAUUCCAUGUGUAGCGGUGAAAUGCGUAGAUAUAUGGAGGAACACCGGUGGCGAAAGCGGCUCUCUGGUCUGUCACUGACGCUGAGGCUCGAAAGCGUGGGGAGCGAACAAGAUUAGAUACCCCCGUAGUCCCUGUCUCUUAUACA
rnacentral:rRNA from 1 species